rnacentral:lncRNA from 1 species
CCUGUGGGACUAUAAGGAGACAAAGCCAACUAGAGUGGAGGACUCUACCUGGAAAGUAAUGGGAAAUAACAAAGAAAAGCAGGGUGGGGCCAAAAGAUGAAAAUCUGGAAUAAUCCAGGCUAUCUCAGGUAGGAUGAGGGCAGUUGUAAAGGGAAGGAAUUCGGGAGCCCUUCGUACCAUGACACUUUUGGAAGAAUGCUUUCAGUCUUUCGACCCCCAAAAUCACUCUAAAGGUAAAGAGAUACAAUUACUCUGA